GUGGCGCACGGGUGAGUAAUGUAUAGGUAAUAUGCCUCUUACUAAGGGAUAACAAUUGGAAACGAUUGCUAAUACCUUAUACUCCUUAUUAACUAAAGUUAGUAAGGGAAAGAUUUAUUGAUAAGAGAUUAGCCUGUAUUGUAUCAGUUAGUUGGUGGGGUAAUGGCCUACCAAGACUAUGACGCAUAACUGGUUUGAGAGGAUGAUCAGUCACACUGGAACUGAGACACGGUCCAGACUCCUACGGGAGGCAGCAGUGGGGAAUUUUGCGCAAUGGACGAAAGUCUGACGCAGCAACGCCGCGUGGGUGAUGAAGGUCUUCGGAUUGUAAAACCCUGUCGUCAGGGACGAAGGUUGGGGCCUUAAUAGGGUUUCAACUUGACGGUACCUGGAGAGGAAGCCCCGGCUAACUCUGUGCCAGCAGCCGCGGUAAUACAGAGGGGGCAAGCGUUAUUC
rnacentral:rRNA from 1 species